GGUGUGAAAUUGAGCUGAAAUUUAGCAUACUUCCGUAUUUUCGAUGACAAUGCAAUAAUUAUGCUAGCGUGGAGCUAAUCUGAUGAUCUAGUUAUAGGGCAGCCAAUGGAACUCUUCGAUGGAAUAAUAUAAACACAUUGAGUUUAGGUUCAUCCGAAAGAUCUCGAGAAACACUUGAUAGACAUGCAAAGGAGAGAAAAUACAGUCCGCAAUAAAAAGGAGUAUCAAAAAAAAUGCCGGUAACUUGUUUAGUAAGUAAGAUGCGGUCUAUGAAUACGACCCAUCUUAUAAAUAAACUGUGUGGCCAGUAUUUGUUUAUUAUAACGUUAUCAGAACUCCUCCGUGUGCGUGCACACACACAUACACACAAAUAGAUAAGACCAACUAGUGCUCUGUUUCAGAUAAGACCUAGACUAAGCCCGACGUCUUAGAAUCGGACCAAGCUGUUCAAGGUGAGCUUCCAUUGGAGAAAAAUAAAGUAUUAUAACUCACGUCUGCAUUUACACCGGUGUUGGAGUAACAAAGAAGACCAAUUCAGCACUAAUCCAGCUAAAAACAUCUUAACCUGUCAAACUGGUAAUAAAAAUUACUCAGUGCAACGUAAUAUAAAAAAUACUAUAUCUUACAUUACAGCCUUCAAAGUUGCAUGCAAAGUUUCUAAACAAAUCCAUUCCUUUCUAAUCUGCAACUUAUUAGAAAGCGCCAUCUAUCAGUACAACUGCAACAUUAAUCUAUAUCGAAUCCAAUUAGAAGAAUACCGUGAAGCAUUAAGAUAAAUUUUAUCGAUAUCGAUAUACCAAUUAGCCCUCACUAUACUAACGGCGACGUUCAGGGUUACCACUUAAGGAUUACAUUGUUUUCGGAACUUUAAGGAUUUGUAGUUUAUUAUUUAUAAAAUAGGUUUAAUUUAAUUAUUAUAGUUAGACAAAUUGUGUCAUUCUUGUAGUACUUAUUAACGUGUAUUUAAAUUAAUAAUUAAUUUAAAUAUAUUAUAGAUCAACUGGCUGUCAGAAAAAAUAAAAGCACAUAAAUUAAAUUAAAUUAAAAUGCCGGAACACAUAUUUGCGAGUGUUUGCGAUGGUUGUAAUAUUAUAUUCGCUUCUUUGUCAUUGCUCGGUAUAAUUUUUGUUUUUUUACUGAUGUAGGUAUUUCAAUUGUAUGUGACUAUGAAAAUUAUAGCAUUUAGUCUUAACUAUAGAUACCAAAAAUGUAAAUUGAAAUAAAUUAGAAUCAACCAAAAAAAUUACUAUCUUAUUUAAAUAAAUAAUUAUGUGUACAAAUAAACACAAUAAUCAUAAUCAAUACGUUAAUAAUAAAUUGUUGCUUCAAAUAAUCAUACUUCAUUGCCCUUCAUUAUUUAAUACAUAUCAUUAUUCUGCUAAAUUAUUAUGCUAAUCAAAAGAGACAAAAUAAUUUAACAUAAAAUUUUAAAAAUAAAACCACAAUUUGUUAUUGCUUUGUUCGUUGCAGCGAAGCCAAAGAAUCUUAUAGAGUCGAACUAAGAUAACUCUGCAUGGCUUUUGCAGUGAUAGUGUGUCAAUCAUAGCUUUUGCAAUGUCAUAAUUAAUAAGAAAUAUCUAUUUAAAAAAAUAGGUAACAUGGUAGGAAGUUGCGCAGGAUCGGGACAGGUGGCACGCAUUCGUACCGGAGGCCAAGAUUAUUUUUGGAACAGUGAGCCAAAAUAGUUAGUUAUUAAAAAAAAAUGUUUGUAACACAUUCUCUCACUUUGUCCUGUUCAUGAAAGAACGUGCAAAAUUAUCAUGGAUGGACUCUAAAUUCAAAGUAAUUAUAUUUUCGCCCUGGCCACCCUGUGUUGUGGCUGCGGCGGCCCUUGCGCCCGCGCAUGAAGAUAAAUCUUUUUACUGCGCACUUUGAUUAGAAAAUUCCUUUAUUAAUUGACUGCCUUAAUUAAACCAAUUUUGUUCCUUGUUGCAAAUUUUAUGUUUAGGGCGAAUAGAUGAUUAAGAUAUAAAUCGAUAAGUAUCCAUUACUGACAUAUAUAGAUAUUAUAUUGAAAAUCUUACUCAAGUAUCGUCUCAAUAAUUCGAAUUAAUAUUAAAAUAUAUUUAUUUGUGUGAUGAUCACAGAUAUUUGUUCCUGUGUCAUGGGUAAUCAAGUCAUGGGUGUUUUCUGUAUAUAGAAGUAUGUAUUUAUCUAUAUACGUAUGUUUAUCAUCGCCUAGUACCCAUAAUAUAUAAUUUGGCUUAGUUGGGGCUAGAUUGAUCUGUGUAAGGUGUCUCCCCUAAUUAUUUUUAAUAUUUUUUUUUAUAUUGUUGUACGUGUAAAUUACUCAUCAAGUAUAAAUAUAAUAAAUAAGAUUUGAAAAGUCAUUUACAUAAAAGUAGCAAUUUAUAUUAUUUCAUUGAUAAAUAUGUUUUUACAAUAUUUAAACUAAGUAGUGUAGUUACAUCACAGAUUUUUUUAUUUGGAGAAUUUAUUAAAAAAUUUGGUAAUUCGUGAAUACAUUUUUUAUAAUAAUAUUAUACAUCCUGAAUUUACGUAAAGUAACUUUCGAAUUCCAAAGUCACCAAUAGGUAAUAUUGCCAUCAAUAAUUCAAUAAUACUAAGAUAUUAUAGGAGCAAUAUUAAUAAAAGCUUCCUGUCAACAAUUGUAAAACUAAACCACCAAUAAAACCUAUAAACAUUAGACGCACACAAAUAAAUCUUCACCCACGCGCCCGCACACAGACAAAAAAGCUAGAGCAAGACAAAAAAAUCCACAAAACGAUGCGAAUACCCGAAGGCAACGACCUACGAAAAAUAAGACGAAUACGGCGCGCGCGCACAUGUGCGUCGGCCAUUUUUUUCUUGCCGUCCCUUUUUAGAGCCAAAAAAGGUGCGGGAUCGCGCGCGUGCGAGAGGGAUGGGUGGAAAGAAAGCGGGGUGAGGUCGUUCGCGCCCUUUUUAGUUCCGUGCGUUGCCGCGCGCUGUUAGAGGAAAGUUCUUCCUGUAUAGUUUUGUUUUUUUUUAAAUAGCGCUCGUGAUUUUUUGUAUGCGUUGUUAUUUGUGUAUUCAAGCAUAAUAAAUUGAAUUCAGGUAUUACCUAACUACCUACCAAGGAUGUAUUAGGUAAGGCAAUACAAGUUAUAACGUUUUAUAUCAGAUAAAGACUAUUCAAUAGUCUAAUCGAAACUUUACAUUCAGAACAAUAAUGAUUCAGAUCAUCAAUUAAAGUCCGUGAUUAUACUAACCAAUUUUUUUUUGCCUUAGUAACCAUUGAGUGUGUAAUCUCUAGAAAAUGCCCAAGAUACCGUGAGCCGAGCAGAAGACCCUAUUUUGCAUUUUGGCAUUUGGCAUUUUGUUUUCGUAGGUAAGGUUCUCGUGAAAUGUUGUGACCAGAUUCUAGGAUUAAAUAAAUAAAUCCUAAUCAUAGAAUCUGGUCACAUUUGUCUGGUUUUAUCGAUCCAGUUUUUGGAUUUUUUUUAAAUGCAGAAAUUGGCAUAAAGGUCUUAAGCGCCAAUGGUGCUUAAGACCAUUGUGAGUUCACCGUGAUAACGACUCGACGAACUAAGUAUUUUUCUGCCCUCCGGGCGCAAAGCAUCAACUUUGCUCCCACUACGCUAAACGAAGUUGCCGCUUUCCGCCUCCGUCGAGUAGAAAAAUAGUAUACGCACCACGGGAGGAAACGUAGGACAUUCGCUAGCCUUCGGCUCGGGUAACAAUUUUACACGCGGUACGCAAUUUCCUACUUUUCCUCCCUUGAGACACAAAUAACUAUUGUCCUUUUACAUUUAUUAAGCUCAAGGCGAGGUCUACAGCUCACAGAGCCACUAGUAUUUAAUUUGGCAAGUUUACCACUUGAAUAAUUAUUUUCCCCCGCCAGCGCGACCCAAAAGAGGCUAAGAUGUGUUUACGCAUCUGUACCCACUACCUUAAAGCAGAGGUCAUGCGGUCGAAUGCAGAGUGAUCCCGCGGCGCUCCUCUGCGAGACGGAGUCGGUAUGCGUUGGUACCUGGUAUUAGAUGGUAGUCCUGCCACUGGUUAGUACGUCAUCAGGCCAUGACUGGUUCCUCCGGGUCAGGUGGCAUGCGUUAACGCAUUUCCCCAACAAAAAAAAAAGGUUAUACCUAUAAGUUUCAGUUCGUUUCUAGUUUUUACAACCUAUGUUGGUGAUUAUGAAUAAGUAAAUAUUAUAUUAUUAAAAAAAGUGUAGAUACUUAUGUAUGUUUUUGGUGUUUAUGCCGAUUUGUCUAAAUUGUCAGAGGUUACUAAAAAAACAUGGUUAAGUUUUUCACGUUUUGGCAACAGUUAGACGAAAAUUGUAUAAAAUAAAAUAUUAAAGAGUGAAGUAUAAUUUUAUAGGGUUAAUUAACCUUUCUAAUGAUUUUUAGGUUUACAUUGAUUAUUUUAAUUUAAAUGACCAUUUAGGACGUAGGUAUAAGGAUUUAAAGUUGGUAAGUACAGGUUGGCCAGAAAUACGUUGACAUUUAUAUUUUAGUGCGGUAUAUUGUUGUAAAUUUUAACCAAACUUUUUCGUUUUUGUAUCAAAGUUAAAUGAGAAUAUUUUAAAGGACCUUUUUUUUCGGUUGUUUAAGUUAAGUUAGCAUUUAGUUAAAGACGUUGUAAGUAAUAAAAUGCGUCUGUCGUGGAACACUCGGUUGGAACGAAGUAUUAUAUUAUUAAUAAACGUAUUAUUUUAUUAAUUAACAAAUAAAUAAAAAAUAGGCAAAAUAAUAACGAUCGAAUCUGCUCACAAAAUUUCACAAAUCAGUUCUAAAAUGUAAUUUACAUGUAGAAUAACUAAACAUAAGAAAAAAAAAUUGUACAAGCUGAAACUGAUACGCGUAAUCCGAGCCCCAUACAUGCUUAGUUUAUCAAAAAAAAAAUUCAAGUACCAAAAAAAUGCAAAAAGCGACAUACCCGUACAGGGAUCGAACCCGGAUCGUCGCUAUUACCACUUGUUUGCCAACUGCGCCACUAUAGGACAUACGCAAGUCGGUGAUAUUAGUCUACUUAUUCUCGAGAAAGGAUUUAAAUAAAAUAUCGCCGUGACGGAAAAAUCUUACACUUUUUUCGCCUAGCCGAUAAGGAAAUUCGUUCCAAAAAUAUUUG